GAUGAACGCUGGCGGCAGGCCUAACACAUGCAAGUCGAGCGGUAGCAGGCCUUCGGGCGCUGACGAGCGGCGGACGGGUGAGGAACACGUAGGAAUUUGCCUGGUAGUGGGGGAUAGCCCAGAGAAAUUUGGAGUAAUACCGCAUAUGCCCUGAGGGGGAAAGUGGGGGACCGCAAGGCCUCACGCUAUCAGAGAAGCCUGCGUCGGAUUAGCUAGUUGGUAGGGUAAAGGCCUACCAAGGCGACGAUCCGUAGCUGGUCUGAGAGGAUGAUCAGCCACACUGGGAAUGAGACACGGCCCAGACUCCUACGGGAGGCAGCAGUGGGGAAUAUUGGACAAUGGGCGAAAGCCUGAUCCAGCCAUGCCGCGUGUGUGAAGAAGGCCUUCGGGUUGUAAAGCACUUUAAGUGGGGAGGAAAAGCGGAGCGUGAAUAUCGCUUUGCCAUGACGUUACCCACAGAAUAAGCACCGGCAAACUCCGUGCCAGCCGCCGCCGUAA
rnacentral:rRNA from 1 species